UUUAUUUCGGUAGAUUCUUAGUGGCGAACGGGUGAGUAACGCGUGGGCAAUCUGCCCUUCAGAUGGGGACAACAUCCCGAAAGGGGUGCUAAUACCGAAUACGAUCAUAAUUCCGCAUGGGAUUAUGAUGAAAGAUGGCCUCUAUAUAUAAGCUAUCGCUGAAGGAUGAGCCUGCGUCUUAUUAGCUAGUUGGUGGGGUAACGGCCUACCAAGGCGAUGAUCAGUAGCCGGUCUGAGAGGAUGAACGGCCACAUUGGGACUGAGACACGGCCCAAACUCCUACGGGAGGCAGCAGUGGGGAAUAUUCC
rnacentral:rRNA from 1 species